rnacentral:lncRNA from 1 species
UCUGUUCUGGUGGAUCACAUCUUUGUGUUGUUGGAAGUUGCAAGAACUUUUCUGAUAGAUUUCAGCAGAACUAAGAAUUACUUGAUUCUAUUGUUGACUUGAUCUCUGCUUUUUGAAACUUUGGACCAGUCUGCGGGUGAGAUGAGUCUUCUGCUUAUUAACACAAGUAUGAAAAAUAGCUCAUGUUCAAGAUCACAGCAUGCAUAGGAGUCCAAACCAUCUUGAGAUAUUGGACAAAGGAAUUAGAGGUCAGCUGGGCAGAAAAAUGUCAGUGUCUUAUGUCUACGCUGGAUAGAAGAAGAAUUAAGAGACUUAUUGAUUCGAGGAAGAUUUAGACCAGUCACUGAGGAGGAACUAGCAGGAAGAGAUUUUCAAGAGCAACCUGUCUGUAGAGCCCCGGUACAGCAGGGUGCUGGCCUGAAACCAAUGUUCUGUGGGACUGGAGCCAGAAACAGGAUCAGGGUUGCAGGAAGAACCCUGAAAAGAAAGGCUCUUCUUUCAGAAAGUGGAGCUCCAUGAGCUGUCGGCAUCCCAGGGGCAGAGCAGAGGCAGAUUUUGGCUGUGAAGUUGACCCAGCCAAUGCCACGCAGGACAAGGUGGCAUUGAGAAGGUCCACAGCAGCAGCAUGUGUGCUGGAGGGGAACCACAAGCCGUGAAGGAUAGGGCAAAAGUGCCCGCUUCAUAAAUACACAUAAACAAACAAAACAGCUCACCAGCAGACAAUUGUUUUCAGCAGCGUUCUUGAAUGAAUAAGUCAGAAUAAAGACACACGGGAAAACCCAGCAAUAAGAAACCUGAAGAGUCGUGGAUGGAGCAAAUUAAAAGUUCUGCCCAAAAUUCAGUGCUUCAGUGACCAUGGUUUCUCCUCUGCGAAGGCCCUCCUGUUGCCUUAGAAAAUUAUCAUCCCGUUUACUUAAUUAGGCUGACUCCAAGCUUUAGGCAUCGGCCUGCCAAGAUGAUGCACACAGCGUAUGACACCUGUCAGUUGACUUCAAUGACUGCUCACCACUUCUUCGUGUUCUGCACCUCCCACAAGUCAGCUCCACAGAUGUGUCAGGAACGCUUCCUGAUGACUGCAUUGUAACAAAUGUGCAGGCGUAAGUCUCCUGGAUUUGCAGGAAGUUGUACAGAAUGGUCCAAUAGGUCAUCUUCAUCUCUGGCUUAUGUGGUAAUAAAGGAAUAAUAAAAACGAAGGUUGCAAAGCAUUCUUUCCAUGACUGAAUCAGCUGGCUUUUUUAUGGGCCAGUUAUUCACUGAGCAAUAAAUAUUCAUGGGCUUUUCAGCAAAGACAUGGUGCAUAAUUAGUCUUGAGCGC